CAGCUGCGUGAAUCUCAGAGGGGAUUAAAGAGGGACAUUCGAGUCACUUCACAGUCACUGCUGCACAGACAUGAUGGCUUUACUGGGAAUGUUCCUCUGGACACUGGCCCUGUCUGUUCAAGGCUCUGGGGCUCAGAUCAUCCUGACUCAGAGACCAGCAGUGGAAUUGGUCGCUGUAGGAGUCACUGUCACUCUGAACUGCCAAUCCAGCAGCUCUGGACUUACGAGCAGCUUAGCCUGGUAUCUGCAGAAACCUGGAGAAAGUCCCAAACUUCUCUUCUAUUCAUUGAGUAGCAAGGUGUCUGGGAUUCCAGACCGUUUCUCCCACAGCCGUGAUGGCACAAAUUUCAGGCUGAAAAUCAGUGGAGUGCAGGCUGAAGAUGCAGGAGAUUAUUACUGUCAACAGUAUUAUGAAACACCGUACACACAGUGACACAGGCCAGUACAAAAACCUCACUCAGCUGUGCAUACGCUCAGUCUCGGAAAACUACUAUCAAAACUGGCAAGAUAUAUCCAGACUACUGUAAUUCACUGGAUUAUAAUGGUCCUUCAUACCCUGAGACCCUGUACUGGAUGGUGGGUGCUUAUUUAUUUAUUUUAUUUAUUUUUAUUUGUUCAUUUUCAUUGGGAAAUGGUUUCAUACUUUAAUUUAUUGGACUAUGCACCAUACUUUUUAGCAUUUAUCUCCCAUAAUUUCUAUGAUGAAGCAAUAGUUUUAUAAAUCUGAAUAUUUAUUACUGGUUUAUCUGUUGAAUUUUAUUCAUCUUUGCAAUGUAAACAGAAGUUUAUUGAACUGCUAAAACAUGAUCCAUACUGAUACAGAAUAACAUAACGUGUAUCAGCGUUUUGUACAGUAUAUAAUAAUUGUGUGCUAGAAUGAUCAAACUGAUAAGUUACGUCUUCCUUUAUAGACACACCUUCUUGUCAUCCUCUUAUUGAAUAUUUAAUAGUUCAAUGGACUGUCCUUCAUAUAUG